GAAAAAGUACAAAGAAUAUUUUUUAUAUGUGUAGAAACAGCCAGCAAAUUCCAGAUACAAGGCUCAAUGAGCUAACGAUAUCUUUGAGACAAAUUCAUGGCCCAACCAUCACCAAGAUACAAUGAACCUAGAACCCCUGGUGUUGCUUGCACGAUGUGCAUGGCCCACAAACAGCCUGAAGUUUAAAAGGAAUACAAAGAAGUGUUAUGCCACAAAAACUAGAAUGUAAAGGACUGUUAUAACAUGAAAACUAGAAUACAAAGGACUAUUUUCUAGAUACCCAAAGAACCGAAGAAUUACAUAAAUUAUAAAUGGCCUAGACAAUAGCUCUUUAUAUAGAUGUAGAAAAGGAGCAAAAAGAUACCCUCUCAUGGUUCCAAAGAUGUAUCUCUAAUGAGAGUUACAUCCUUUAAACACAUUCACUUGAUUAGUCAUACCUUGGCAUAACCAUGCCUACUCAUCACAAGUUCUCUCUUGGAAGAGAUAUGACUAUUCAUAAUAAGUCACCUUUUUCAUAAAAGUAGUACUACACAAACUAUAUAAUUAACUUUGUCUAAUCCCUUCUUAUAUUAGCUCUUACUGGUUUUUCCUGUCGAUUCUAGUUUUCUUUGUCAGGGAGGGAUGCAUACCACAAGUCCUGUUUCAAAGAGUUGACUCAUCCCAAAUGUGAAGUUUGCCACCAAUUUGUAAGAAAACAUCACUGUUGGCAUUUUGAACUUUAUUGCUUGUUUUGUUCUCUAUUAAGCCAGUUUGUUAGUGUUUCUAUUAAUUUUGAUUGUCUUUCACUAACAUCAUGCAUCAUUAACAUAUUUAUUUGGGGCAUCAUUCUUGAUGCCUUUCCCCCGAAUUUGGUUUGCUCACUUAAGCAGGGCAUACUAGAAAGUUUUACACUGUUUUUGUUUUCAAUGUUGGUCCUGCUUGAAGUGAAAGAGAUUUAUGAUAGUUCAAUCUAUCUUCAAAGUUCAUUCAUAACUUGGAAAUUCUUUUCAUCACAUCCAGUCAAAAAUCAUUGAAGCUUCUGAAAAUAGCUUGGUAUCAGGAUGAAAAUUUCUUAAAAUUUGAUAUCUUCCACAUUGAUUUUUUUUUUUUUUCAGUCUGUAAGAAUGAUUUAGAUAAAUAUGAAACAUAUUUUCUCCUUUUAAAUAUGUUUGAUCAUAACAUUCUGUUAUGAAUAUAGGGAGUAUGCAAAAGAGCUGCUUAACUCAUUAUAAUGUUAAAUAACAGAACAACUAUCUAGCUGAGUUCAUGUUACUUUGGGUCCUUAGUUUACAGUUCUUAAGAAUUAUUUUGUAAUCUCAUAUUGACAUUUGUAAUUUAAAAAAAUUUCAGAUCCCAACAAAUGGUGCUGGUUUAAUUGAGUACAGGUGCCACCCCUUUUGGUCCCAGAAAUAUUGCCCAUCGCAUGAGCAUGAUAAUGUAGCUCGUUGCUGUAGCUGUGAACGCUUGGAGGUACGAUCUAGACUUGUGAAAGAGGCUUUUAUUUUAAUCAUGUUAUGCACAAAAAUGUUUUUGUAGACAAAGUACCAUAAGUGUGAAAUCAAAUUGUUCUGCUUAGAGUGGUUGUGGUUGUGGUUGAUGUCAUUUUUUCCCCUCCUGAAGUCUUGGAAUGCGAGAUACAUAUCCUUGGGAGAUGGACGGAGUUUAUGCUUAGAGUGCAUGGAAUCAGCUAUAAUGGAUACCGGUGAUUGCCAUUCCCUUUACCAUGCAAUCAGGGAUUUUUUUGAAGGGAUGAACAUGAAACUAGAUCAGGAAAUUCCCAUGCUUCUGGUUGAAAGACAAGCCCUUAAUGAAGCUAUUGUAGGAGAGAAGAAUGUAAACCAUUAUCUCUUGCUCUGUUUUUUAAGCAUUUGAUUUGUGGAAUUACUCUAAUUCAGGACAUGUUCUUCCCAGGGACACCACCACUUGCCAGAGACGAGGGGUUUGUGCCUCUCUGAAGAGCAAACUGUUAAAAGUGUAUGAUAUUUGAAUACUACACAAUUUUCCUUUGCUUAUACUGAAUUCUAAAAUGUCUUAUGACUAUAGUACUAAAUGUUUAUUGCUUGUUCGUGUUUGUUUGUUUGAUUAUCUGUUUAUGCAUUUCUUUUUUUAACAGAUCCAAGUACUUAGAAGGCCCAGACUUGCAGGACAGCGACUAGUAGGAAUGAGAUCACAACCUCAAAAGCUGACUCGAAAAUGUGAAGUUACAGCUAUUCUUGUACUGUAUGGCCUACCAAGGUACUGUCCUAAAAGUUUUGACCAAGUUUUUCCCCUCUCAACUCUUUUAGGGGUGGGGCAUUGCAGUUUCCCUCCUUUUUAUGCCUGUAAUUCCUUUGCUUGUUUAAUUUUCAUAUUUCAUCCCUAAACAGCCAUAUAAUGGCACCCAAAAUAUCAAAGGAGUGGUAACUGAGUACCCACUAAUAUAGGAGGGGACUCUGCAUUCUGACUCUUGGACUAAAGUGCUAAAAAGUAAUAAAGAAAAAUCACGAAAUCCUCCCAUUAAAAGUGAUGUGGUGUGCUAUGGUAGGUGGCUAAGAGCUUUGGUUGUGAAACACUUAAAUCAUAAACAUAUAGAUUUUAAUGCUAGAUGGAUUUCAUUGCUAGAUGUUGAGGAUUCUUCAGGACUAAAAAUUAACUUGAACAAAAGCUAACUAAUUUCUAUAGGGGAAGUCCCUAAUGUGGGGGAGAUAGCAUCAGUGUUGGGUUGUGGAGUAGGAAAACUGCCUGUCACUUACUUGGCCCUGCUCCUCAAUGCUCCCUUCAAGGCUUCAGCUGCUUGGGAUGUGGUGGAGAGGUUCUCAAAGGACUAGCUCUACAAAAAAGGCAAUACCUCUCCAAAGGAAGGAGAUUCACUUUGCUAUAGAUGGUACUCUUAGGAGUUUAGUAAUUUAUUUCAUGUCCCUUUUUGUCAUUCCCAAAUUGGUGGCUCCAAGACUAGAAAAUUCAAAAGGAUAUCCUAUAGAGAGGAGGGGCUCCCGAGAAAAAGCCCCGUCUAAUGAAAUAGUUGUCAAUUUGUCCAUUCUCAAUAAAGCCCUAUUGGGUAAAUGGUGUUGGAGAGGGAUAUGCUUUGGAGAAAGGUCAUAAUGUGAAAGUUUGGAAAAGAGCUAGGAGGUUCGUCCUCUUGGGUAGGGAAGGAAGGCUAAGGUGUAGGCUUGUGGACAUCGAUAAGAAAAGGAUGGGGAGUUUUUAAUGCCAAAAAAAGAUUUGAGGUGGGCCAUUGGGAGAAGAAUAUAAUUUUAGCAUGAUGUGUGGUGUGGUGAUGUUCCCUUAAAAGACUUUUUUCCUUCUCUAUUCUCUUUUGCAACUUCCAAGGAGGUAUGGGUGGAUGAUGUUCGAGCCCGUGUUUCUUAAGACAUUUUCAAGAUUUGAAGAUAGAUAAUGUUGAGGAAUUUCUUCAAAAGCUAUACAUGUUAGGAAGAAGUAGCAGAAAGGAGGAUAAAAUGGUAUGGAAGGCUAGCAAAAGUGGGGAAUUCUUGGUGAAGUCUUUCCAUUCCCCCUUGGAGCUAGAGGGUGGAGUGUCUUUCCCCUGAGAGAUAGUGUGAGGCUCUUGGGCUCCUACCAAAGUGGGUUUUUUUUCGAUUGGGAAGUGGCUUAGGGAAGUAUUCUAACCAUGGACCAACUUAAAAGGACAGGAUGGUUUCAUUGGGUUAUCGUCGCAUGUGCAAAAAUGCAAAAGAAUCAAUAGACCAUCUCCUCAUCCAUUGUGAGAAAGCUAGGGGCUGUGGCACUUUCUAUUCACUUUAUUUGGGAUUUUGUGGGUUCUCUCAUGUUCGAUGAAGGAUUUGUUAAUGGAUUGGAAUGAGAGCUUUGUGGGCAACAAGAGAAGAAAGGGUUGGAGAUCAGCUCCAUUUUGCCUUUUCUAGACAGUUCAAAAGGAAUGCAAUGGAAAAGUGUUUGAAGGGGUGCAAUGAACUAACCAAUCUCUUAGGACUCCCUUAUAUCUUAAUCCAUACAUGUGAUCUUAUGGGUGUCUUCUAGUUGAUGGUCAAGCUGAUCCACUAUCAAGGUUUUAUUUGGUUGUACUCCAAGACUACAUGGGAAUUGUGGUUGUAGGUUGUUUCCUUUUGUUCUCGCAUGUAUACUUCCUAUGUAUUGUGUUUGCCUCUUUCUGAUCAGCACGUUUAAUUUAUAUAUAUAUGGAAAAGGUGAUUAUGUGAUUAUAUAUAUAUAUAUAUAGAAAAGGUGAUUAUGUGAGAUGAUCACAGAAAUUCUGUUAGGAGUUGGAACUACUAAAAUGUCCUAAAGUGCAACAUUUAGAGAAUAUGGAGCUUUUGUCUCUCAUUUUUCAUAUAUAUUUAGCUUUCAUUGAUAGUUCACUCUGUUCUCUCUUCAAUUUGUACAUUCUCCUUGAGGCACCCUAAAUUGAUAAACCUUAAUACUUUCAGGAGAAGAUAAAUGUAUUAUUGACAAUAUUUCUCCGACUAGGCAUUAUUGGGUGUCAAAAAUCAACCUAAAUAACAGUCCUCUCUCUCUCUAAUCCUUUUUCGCUUGUUAAAGAUGUUAUCUUAUCAAAUAGACAAGUAAAACAAUACACAAUCAAAUAAGCCUUGUUGGAUAUCUUGUUAUGCUGAUCAAAUAUAUACAAUGCAAUGCAAUGUAUCUAUCCUCUGUUUGAAGAACCAAUUCUUGUCAGAAGUUUGAAAACUCUUACCAUUAUGAAAUCCCUGCUGGAUGCAGGUUACUGACAGGAGCUAUUCUUGCUCAUGAACUGAUGCAUGGGUGGCUACGCCUUAAAGGUACAACACUGACUCAAUCUUUUCCUCAAGGGCAUCUU
rnacentral:lncRNA from 1 species